rnacentral:lncRNA from 1 species
GCUGAAUCCUCACCCGAGUCACACAAGUCUUCCAAGUCCCUUGCCCCAGGAAGGUGGGGGACGACCCAGCCAAUCUCUCCAGAGCCCGCGGCGUGCACAGCAGAGCUCAGAAGGGCCGCUUCUGAAUCCUCGAGCAGCAGUGUUCGAUUUUCUGUCAAUGCUGACUCCAAACGGCUGCUCUUCCCCAUCCGGGUGCUGCCGGUCUCCAGCCAGCAUGUGCCAGACUCGGAGGGGACAGCAGCUUGAGCUCAUAAAGAUACAAUAAUAAUCGUAAGGGGCAUAACAGGGGUCGGGCACGGUGGCUCACGCCUGUAAUCCCAGCGCUUUGGGAGGCCGAGGCGGGCGGAUCACGAGGUCAGGAGAUCGAGACCAUCCUGGCUAACACGGCGAAACCCCGUCUCUACUAAAAAUACAAAAAACAAAAUCAGCCGGGCGCGGUGGCUCACGCCUGUAAUCCCAGCGCUUUGGGAGGCCGAGGCGGGUGAAUCACGAGGUCAGGAGAUUGAGACCAUCCUGGCUAACACGGUGAAACGCCAUCUCUACUAAAAAUACAAAAAA